UACAAUCUCUGAUCUACUGGAGGAUUCACACUGCAGAACACAGAUACUGAAGCUGAAUAAGAGCAGUAUUACAGAAGAAGGCUGUGCUGCUCUGUCAUCAGCUGUUUGUUCAAAUCCUUCACACCUGAUAGAGCUGGAUCUGAGUGAGAACAAACUCGGAAACUCUGGAGUGAAGCAGAUCUGUUCUCUACUGAACAAUCAGAACCUUAAACUACAGACACUGGGUCUUUCAUUCUGCAGUAUAUCAAGUGAAGGCUAUGCUGCUCUGGAA